GGUCAACCAAACCAAACCAAACCAAACUCUUUAUACUCUCCAGCUCCGCUCUAACUAGCUUUGUUUUAGGGUGUGCCCAACUAGGUGCUAGACAGGUAUUAUCCAAAUGCAUUACUUAGUGACAUCACCACGUUACGGAAGAAAAGGCAGAACUUCAAUGAAGGCGUUUCAGACAGUUCAGGAGCAGUGUUUCUGUGGGGGAGAUUAACUCCCUUUGGCGUAGACUUUUGGGCUUUGUAACUUUACAGACUUUUUACAUGCAC